CAUGUAUGAGUUAUUUCCUUUCGUAAGAAUAUUCAACCGCCGUUCUCUGUUACAACCAGUCAUGCGGUACCCAUACCUUCUUGUGCUGUCCACAACUUUGGUUGCAGCCAGUCUGUAUGUCGGAGUUGCAGAUGCGGCUACUGCACAAACGCCUCUGAACGGUGUCCCGUGUUCACAUGACCCCAGCAUUCACCCUGACGUCACCACGGGGUGCUUCACGGGGUGCUGGUGUGACGACGAGUACUUAUUUUGAGUAUACCC